rnacentral:tRNA from 1 species
ACAUGUUUAGUAUAAGUCAAUACAUUGGAUUUAGGUUCCAAAAAUUGUAAUAUGUU